rnacentral:rRNA from 1 species
GAUAAACGCUGGCGGCGUGCCUAACACAUGCAAGUCGCACGUCCUGUGCAUCCGCAAGGAGGCGCAGGGAGUGGCGGACGGGUGAGGAACACGUGGGUGACCUACCUUUCAGUGAGGAAUACCGGCGAGAAAUCGCCGACAAGACCGCAUAGGCUCGGCGGGGGACCCUCCGCUGAGCAAAGCUCUUUCGGGGGCGCUGUGAGAGGGGCCUGUGGCCGAUUAGCUAGCUGGUGGGGUAAGAGCCUACCAGGGCGAUGAUCGGUAGCUGGUCUGAGAG